UACGAAGGGGGCUAGCGUUGCUCGGAAUCACUGGGCGUAAAGGGUGCGUAGGCGGGUUUUUAAGUCAGAGGUGAAAUCCUGGAGCUCAACUCCAGAACUGCCUUUGAUACUGAAAGUCUUGAGUAUGGGAGAGGUGAGUGGAACUGCGAGUGUAGAGGUGAAAUUCGUAGAUAUUCGCAAGAACACCAGUGGCGAAGGCGGCUCACUGGCCCAUAACUGACACUCAGGGACGAAAGCUAGGGGAGCGAAUGGG
rnacentral:rRNA from 1 species